GAUGAACGCUGGCGGCGUGCCUAAUACAUGCAAGUAGGACGCAGUUGCGAACGGGUGAGUAACGCGUAGGUAACUGCCUAUUAGAGGGGGAUAACUAUUGGAAACGAUAGCUAAUACCGCAUACUAGUAGAUGGACCUGCGUUGUAUUAGCUAGUAGGUAGGGUAAUGGCCUAACUAGGCGACGAUACAUAGCCGAUCUUAGAGGGUGGACGGCCCCACUUGUAAUGGGGACCGGCCCAGCAUCCUACGGGAGGCAGCAGUUGGGGAUCUUGGGCAAUGGGGUGAACCCUGGCCGAACAACUGCGCGUGUGUGAAGAAGGUUUUCGGGUCGUAAAGCUCUUUUGUGAAGGAAGCGGUACUUAACCAGAAAGGUACGGCUAACUACGUGCCAGCAGCCGCGGUAAUAC
rnacentral:rRNA from 1 species